AGAUUAAUAAAUAUCCCCAAUUUUACCAAAUCCAGUGCUCUAGGGUUCUAUUCUGCUAGGGAUUCUUUCCCAGAUUCGACCGCAUCAAAACCCUAUGGAGUUCGAUUCAUAGAGCCGAUUCUCCGCUGCAUCGAGGCGCCAUCAAUUGACUCUUCAAUCUCGAUUCGAUCUGAACCUAGGGUUUGAUGAUGUCGAAGGAGGGGAGGACGAUUUCCGCGUGAAGUUUGGGUGCCCAUUCUAUGCUGAGGAUUUUGAUAUUGUUGGGUUAUGCUGUCAUCUUGACGAGGAGCAUCUUGUUGAAGCUAAAAAUGGGGUUUGUGACAUUUUGAUUUUCGACUCUUCAAGAUCGUGCUUUCCGGCUUUUCUCAGUAGUGCAGCAAAGUAGAGAACUUUCUCAGUGUCAUAUAACGAAAAGAGCCAAGAAACUCGUGAUGAAGGAAGAAGAGAUCAAGUUAAAGCUUGUUAUCACCUUUGAUGUUGAUGGUGUAUGUUAAGGAGUGUGUUCCUGUAUUUGCAAUAACGCGAUGGUGUUCGUGUUGUAGUCUUGGAGGGUCGAUGCUUGACUGCAGCCCUUGUUUUGUGGAAUUAAAUAGUUUGGUAAAACCAUUCCCUUCACGUGGUCUCAUUUCAUUCUUCUAGCUGAGGGAAGAAUGUGUGAAAUUAUGUUAAAAAGUUGUUGAUGUCCAUAUUUGAGCACAGCGGGCCUGUUUCUAAUGCCUAGCAGACUUAUGUAGGCCUUAAGUUUUUGGAAGUGUAAACUAUAGUUUCUUCAGCUUGCCUUGCUUGAGUUCUAUGAUUUAAAAAAAGAUGUUCCUGAUCUCAUGAUUGUUGGCCCAAAAUAAUUUAACUUACUAAAGCUGCAACUGCAUGUGCUUCCAAAACUCUGGCCCAUAAGUUGCCUUACUAUGUAAUUCUUCUUCAUGUUACCUAAAUUAUAAACUAUGUUUCACGGGUGCGGGGUCAGUUGUACUGGGCGAUAAUAUUUGAAAGAGUUCUAUUUUAUAAACAUCGCAGCAUUGUUUCUGUGCUGUGAUAAGUAUUGCAUGUCAUCUUACGUUCGCCAAAGUCCUCUCCAAGCUUAUAAUGUGUAUUUUCAUUAUUCUUUAACAUAUAUUCUUUUUCUUGAUAGUUCAUUUGUUUACUGAUCUUGCAUUUUCAAAAAAAAAAUAUUUAUAGUCGAGAUCCGUGAACAUGAUUGGGGUAACGUUGUGACCUGUCAUAUGGAUACUCCACAAGCUUACGUGUGGCGUCUUCAGAACUUUGUCCUUGGUGAACAUAUUCCCACACCUUCCACCGACAAGCAAACACAUGUUAAGGCUUGCACAAUUAGUGCUUGUGGUAAUUUUGCUAUUCUGGGCACUGAGGGUGGCUGGAUUGAACGGUUCAUUCUCCAAUCAGGGAUCAGCCGAGGCAGUUAUGUGGACAUUGCUAAAUCACAAAGUUGUGCUCAUGAUGGGGAAGUUCAUGGAAUAGAAAACAAAGGAAAAGAUGACACUGAAAACAUUUGAAGAUCCAUGCUUGUCGCUCUUUGGGGGAUUUACUUGUUGUGAAGAUUUAGAACUUAAUCGUCUCAAUAGAGACAUUUUGACCUUUUGAUUAAGUAGUAGCUCUUUGUUUUAAUCCUGGAGGAUUUGUGAUAUGUGCUUAAUUUGGUUAGUUUGUGUGUAAAACUUGUGAAGAAUUAUCUCAAUCCUAUUGUUGUAAUAUUAUUCUUCGUUGUAAUGAAUUGUUCAUUAUAUUAAGGCUAAAGUUUGGUUA